GAUUUGACAUAAUUUUUUCUGUGGCCAAUGACCUUGAGCCUUCUUGGAUUGGCACGUCUAAUGUAAAUCUAUGGCAGCACCCAAGGGAUUUUGAACUUUCUAGCGGUCCCUGUAUAUUUUGCGGUGACGUAGUGUCCCCAAGAGUGCCAGAACACUGAGCCAAUCACGGUGCAACUAGAGAACAUUACCAAACCCUACGCUCUGUACUUCCCCCUGUAUGCCCCACCACCACAGAAAGCACUGAGCUGGGCUGAAACACCUGCAUUUUGGAGCUUCCUUACUCAAGAAAGCAAGAAAGAGGCCAUGUUUGUAUGCAGCUUUAUUAGCUCAAUGCCUUGGGAAGGUAGACCGCUGAUUUCACAAGUUGUUGCACCCAUCCAUAAUCAGAUUAAUAAAUUCAGUAUGAAUCUAAGUUCACUCAUGAAGAUGUGUAGGUAAUAGUGAGUUUAUAAGGCUACAGUAUGGAAACAAACUAAGAUAAAGAAGACAGAAAUAGACAGAAGUCCCAAGACUCUGCACAGCCUAAUGGGAAAUAAUCAGGUGUGUUCUCUUCUAUUCAUGUCUUACUUUUAACUGGAUUGGUGGACGUCACUCCCCAAAUAAUAUCACUCCCUGUGUCACCAGACAAGUUCAACUUCUUUCUUACACUCAGGUAUCUUCUGAUAUCUUGUACACAUGGUCUACAAAGGUCAACCUAAAAUGUGCAUGUAAAAUACAUUUGAAUCUCCAUUUAAUUAUGUGCCUUUACAUAAGUGAGCCCUCCUUUACUGUUCUAGGAAAACCAGAUAGGUCACAAAUGCCUUUGGGGAGGUGGGAUCACAGGUUUCAGUGGGGUAGGAGGGGUCUAGUACUACUGCUGUUAUGUCAGAGAUUAGAGCAUUUAUAAAGCCAGUAAUCACAAUGCUUUUGUGAGUUUGUUCCGACCUGCAGUGCAGGAGAAGAAAAGGGAUGUUUCAUAUUUAAGGUGGAAAGGAAGAGUGCACACUUAGGACAUGAGGAGAGGGACAGCUCUUGCAGUGUUGGUGCUGGCACUUUUUUCAUCUGCUACAGCAAAGCCCAAAAGUCGCUUCACACGAUAUCCAUCAUGGAAUAUGAAAAUGGAUCCAGUCUGGAAAGAUGAAGAUCCUCGGUACAAAGACUCUUGGAAAGGUGGCAAGGUGAAGUUCAUUGUGGGUAAUGAUGCACCGACCCUGACUGGAGCCAAUGUGACCUUUACCAUCGAGCUGCAGUUCCCACACAACCAGAAGGUCACGCCCGAUGGAGAGGUGGUGUGGGCUGAGAACUGCACCGUCAAUGGAACAAAUUUCCAUCAGUCUGAGCCAGUGUAUCCUGCACAAAACAUGGACUGGAAUGAUGUCUUUCCUGACGGAACACCCUUCAAGAAGGGUGGUGACAAGCCCCCUGCAUAUGUGUUUGUAUGGAAGACAUGGGGUAAAGUGCAGCUGCGACCACUCUCACCUAUUAGGGCCUACAUAAUUCAUGUUUUACUUAAUGUCUGCCAAAGAUGUUAUAAACCUGUAAUAACACUGUUAUAAACAUGUAAUAAGCCAUUUUCUUUGCUUUACAGGUCAGUACUGGCAGGUGUCUGAUGGCCCAUCCUCCUCCCUCACCAUUGGGACAGACAAUGUCCCUCUGGGUUCCUACAUCGUGGACAUUGUAAUCUACCACUACCGCAGCCAUGAGAAGUUCAUCCCUCUGGGAUACGCCUCAACACAGUUCUCCAUCACUGAUCAAAUCCCCUUCGCAGUCUCGAUGACCCAAGUGAACGACAUCAACGAGGCAGACCUGAGCUUCGUCCAGAACAGAGCCAUAGCCUUCACCAUCAGCCUCCACGACCCCAGCGAGUACCUGAGUGACACCGACAUCACCUACAACUGGGACUUUGGUGACAGCAGCGGGGCGCUCAUCUCCAGAGAGCUGACUGUCACCCACACCUAUAUAGUGGCUGGUGGCUUCAAGCCCCAGGUGGUCGUACAGGCCGUUAUCCCUGAUAAAGCAUGUGCCACACCAGCUGGUGUCAACCCCACUGGUAAUGAUGUCACCAUCGGGCCUGCAAACCCAGCCGGCACAACAGGUCAUUCUCAUCUUGAAGCGCUUUAGUCCAGAAGUGAAUUUCUAAAGUCUUAACUUGGAUUCUUUGCAUCCUUAGUGUCUUCAAGAAGAGAGGAUGCGGGGAAUCAUGGAAAAUACUUUUGAGAUUCACUCAAUAUGUAGGCUAUGCCAGGAUUGACCAAGAAAAUAGAACAUGUAGUAGUCCUGUUUCUACCUCCAGUGAGAGCUCCUGCUGCUGAUGCGUCAGCUGCUCCAGUGAUGGUGACCACACAGGAAGCUACAAUAAAUGUAGGCCCAUCAGCUCCCGCUGAGACUGACACAGAGGACAUGACUGAGGAGGGAGCCUCCACCGCUCGGGACACGAAGAUACCUUCUCAAGUUAAUCCUGACACUCCAACUGUCCCUGCUGCUGAGGAAUUAGAGCCAGCAGGACAGACUGCUACAGGCCAAGCUCCCGUGGGGAUAGUUGUUAAGCGUGAAGCCAAUGACAAACCCAAGGAUGAUGACUGUGUGAUCUAUCGCUAUGGGUCCUUCUGCACUGGCAUUGACAUCGUUGACCCAAUUAAGGGAGUCUGUCUCAGACAAUCACACCAUUUAUUAUUUCCCUAAGCAGAAUCAUGAUCCACAGACAAAUCCACUAGCCUUCCCACAGAGGUGUGCACGGUGGUGUCCGAUGCAGACUGUUUUAUGCCCAUCCACACCAUGUGUAACACAGUGGCCCCCUCUAAUGAGUGCCAGCUGGUACUGCGUCACUUUUUCAAUGACUCCGGCAUCUUCUGUAUCAACGUGUCCAUGACCAACGAUGUCAGUCUGGCAGUCACCAGCGCCAAAUAUAGCGUGACCGUGGGUUCCAGUCUGUCCUCAGCUGGCACUGUAGCCAUGGCAAUGAUGGUCCUGAUCGUUGCCCUGGUCACAGGAACCAUGGUCUACACUUACAAACGAUUCAAAGCCUACCUUCCUCUGAAGGAGGAGUCUGUGGUUGGCUCCACCUCCCAGAGCUCUGAGAGCAGUCCUGGUUGGAGCUCUGGGCCUCUACUGUUCUGGAACCUUCUGAGUCGAUUGGACCUUAUAGAGAACAGCCCACUGCUCGAUGACAGGCUGGUGUGAAUGGAAAACAACCCAUUCAACUGCCAAAUACACAACAGCAUAGAAACAUCUGUCAUCUGAAAUGUUUAGCUUUUUCUUUAAUCGAUUUUUUAUACAUUUAUUUUUUAACUGAAAGUUCAUUAAUGGAUAUAAUUUCGCUUAUUACCAUCAAACUUAAAUGUGCAUCCUCAAAUGUUUAUACUGGAAGUUUUAUCAGUGAAUAGUAUUGUAAACUACUGUGAAGUCAGACAUUUAUAUGUAUUUUGGCAGUCACCCCCCCCCCCCCCCCCCCCCAAAACUGCACUAAUGUCUUUAUUUUUGUCAAGAUAAGGUGGUGAAUAAAGUCCAAGAGC